CGCGUAGGCGGUUUGUUUAGUUAGGCGUGAAAUUCCUGGGCUUAACCUGGAGACUGCGCUUAAUACAGGCAGACUUGAGUUCGGAAGAGGGUCGUGGAAUUCCCAGUGUAGAGGUGAAAUUCGUAGAUAUUGGGAAGAACACCGGUGGCGAAGGCGGCGACCUGGUCCGAUACUGACGCUGAGGCGCGAAAGCGUGGGGAGCAAACA
rnacentral:rRNA from 1 species